rnacentral:rRNA from 1 species
UUCGCCCUACGGGACGCAGCAGUGGGGAAUAUUGGGCAAUGGGCGCAAGCCUGACCCAGCAACGCCGCGUGAAGGAAGAAGGCUUUCGGGUUGUAAACUUCUUUUGACAGGGAAGAGCAGAAGACGGUACCUGUCGAAUAAGCCACGGCUAACUACGUGCCAGCAGCCGCGGUAAUACGUAGGGGGCAAGCGUUAUCCGGAUUUACUGGGUGUAAAGGGGGCGCAGACGGCGAUGCAAGCCAGGAGUGAAAGCCCG